GUCCACGCCAUAAACGAUGAAUACUAGGUGUUGGAGGAUUUAAACCCUUCGGUACCGCAGCUAACGCGUUAAGUAUUCCGCCUGGGGAGUACGACCGCAAGGUUAAAACUCAAAGGAAUUGACGGGGGCCCGCACAAGCAGCGGAGCGUGUGGUUUAAUUCGAUGCAACGCGAAACACCUUACCUGGAUUUGACGUGUGCGUAGUAGUGAAGCGAAAGCGGAACGACCCUUCGGGGAGCGCAUGCAGGUGCUGCAUGGCUGUCGU
rnacentral:rRNA from 1 species